rnacentral:misc_RNA from 1 species
AACCAGCGGAGGGAUCAUUACCGAGUUGAAAAACUCCCAAACCACUGCGUACAUACCACGUCGUUGCUUCGGCGGGCCGCNGCCGCCGCCGGAACCCCCCCGCCCGGGGGGGCGAGGGCGGCGCCGCGGACCCGGCCCCGAGAGGGGGGCCCGCCGGAGGCCCAAACACUGCACCUCAGCGAGCUGCCUUCUGAGUCUCUUGACGAAAAAAUCAAGUAAAAACUUUCAACAACGGAUCUCUUGGUUCUGGCAUCGAUGAAGAACGUAGCGAAAUGCGAUAAGUAAUGUGAAUUGCAGAAUUCAGUGAAUCAUCGAAUCUUUGAACGCACAUUGCGCCCGCCAGUACUCUGGCGGGCAUGCCUGUCCGAGCGUCAUUUCACCACUCAGGCCCCCGGGCCUGGCGUUGGGGCACUGCGGCCGACGCAGGCCCCCAAGUCCAGUGGCGAGCCGGCCGGGAACCCGAGCGCAGUAGACUUCUCCGCCCCGGGGCCCCGGACGGCCUCCGCCGUGAAACAGCAGGGAGGGGGCUCGCGCCCCCGCCCGCCACCACAAGGUGGACCU